rnacentral:rRNA from 1 species
CUCAUGGUUUCACGGUAUUGCAAUGAGAACAAUUUAAAACCCUUAGCGAGAAUCAAGUGGAGGACAAGUCUGGUGCCAGCACCCGCGGUAAUUCCAGCUCCACUAGCGUAUAUUAAAGUUGUUGCAGUUAAAAAGCUCGUAGUUGAACCUCUGUCUGGGGCUAGUUUUGGCUUUGGUCAGGCUAGUUCUAGGCAUCCGCCUACAAGACUUAGAGGGCAUUCAGUUGUUCACUAGGAGGAGUAGGCAUUUUACUUUGAAAAAAUUAGAGUGUUUAAGGCAGGCAAUCGCCCGCAUAUAUUAGCAUGGAAUAAUAGAAUAGGACACUUUUCCAUUUCGUUGGUUAUUGGAAUCGUGUAAUGAUUAAUAGGGACAGUUGUGGGCAUUUGUAUUUAAUUGUCAGAGGUGAAAUUCUUGGAUUUAUUAAAGACAAACUAACGCGAAAGCAUUUGCCAAGGAUGUUUUCAUUAAUCAAGAACGAAAGUUAGGGGAUCAAAGACGAUCAGAUACCGUCCUAGUCUUAACUAUAAACUAUUCCGACUCAAUGUUUGACUGGCUUAUAUAACCAGUUGAGCGUUGUAUGAGAAAUCAAAGUCUUUAGGCUCUGGGGGGAGUACGGUUGCAAAGCUGAAACUUAAAGGAAUUGACGGAAGAGCACAACCAGGAGUGGAUUCUGCGGCUUAAUUUGACUCAACACGGGGAAACUUACCAGGUUAAAACAAUAGUGGGAUUGACAGUUUGAGAGCGCUUUCUUGAUUGGUUGGGUGGUGGUGCAUGGCCGUUCUUAGUUGGUGGAGUGAUUUGUCUGCUUAAUUGCGUUAACGAACGAGACCUUAACCUGCUUACUAGACUGGCGAUCAUCAAUCGUUAGCUCUUCUUAGAGGGACUUUGGUUGUUUUAACUCCAAGGAAGUUUGAGGCAAUAACAGGUCUGUGAUGCCCUUAGAUAUCCUGGGCCGCACGCGUCAUACAAUGACUAGUUCAGAAAGUUUUCUCCUGACCCGAAAGGGGAUGGGUAAUCUUGAUAAUACUAGUCGUGUUAGGGAUCGAUCUUUGCAAUUAUAGAUCUUGAACGAGGAAUUCCUAGUAAGUGCGGUUCAUCAGACCGUACUGAUUACGUCCCUGCUCUUUGUACACACCGCCCGUCGCUUCUACCGAGUGGGUGGUCCAGUGAGAUAAUUGAACUUCGCAGGUAACUGAGAGGAAAGAUUAUCAAACCUAUCCACCU